AAGACAGUGGCACCCUCCGUCAGAGGCCAUAGCUUUGGAGCACACCAUCAUGCCCAGGGCUGUGCGCACUGUUAGAAAAAACAAAUGACAACUCCCUAAUCACAUGCUCUGUGUGAGUCUUGCAUUCUUUGCAGGUUAGGAAUGGGAGGAGUAGCUGAAGGCAUGGGAAUUAAUAACAAAAUACUCAAGAUGAUUUUUUUUUUUCUCAUACUACAACCCAAGAAUUUUAGACAGAAGACCUUAGUAGGAGUUUGAAAGGUUGAUAACAAACCACUCUGAAUUUCUCUGGAAGUAUGGAGCCAGGCUCAGAUGCUAAGAAGUCCUCCAAGUUGAGCAAGAAGAUGCCAGAGCUGUGGGAUUCCUGCUUUAAAAAAAAAAAAAAAUCCAGGGUCAAGAUGAAGAAAGGACUUGGAGAACAAGCGGUACAUCAGAAAUAUGGCCCCGUCUGGAGACAGUACACAACUUGGCGCUUUCCACUGCCCUUCCAAUCAGGAGCAACUACAGCUGUCGAGGGAGCACUGAAAAAAUGUCAAUUAGCUAUAAAAGUUCCACAAACAAGCAUUAUGUCUUCCUCUUACGAGUCCCUGGGUGAAGCUCAAAAUUGAGCAAUAAUGUCCACAGUUAAAAAUGGUUGUGGGGGGCCCCAGCACUCUCUUUUCCCAUUAAUAAUGGCUUUGGCGCUGGUGCUGGAGUCAUUGCACGUGUGGGGGGCAGGCAGCUGCAGGAUAUGUGUGUUACGAAUAGCUACAGCUCCCUUCACAUUGAUGGGGAGGGGACGCGACCCCGGGUCCCUCUAGGCGCAUCGCCCAUGGCGAGGUCAUCCCUCAGGGGAAUGGGGACGCGAGGCGCAUCCAGCCUCCUGGUUAUUCUCCUCCCGGCUCUGCAGGUGCUGGCUGCUUCUCUCAGGCCGUGCCUACGAAUCACAUCGUGACUGCUCUGGCUCGGAAGGGGAAUGAGAGAGCAGUCUGCCUUCUGGUGUCACCCUCUGUGACUGUCCGGGGGUGGCCCCAUGUGACCUUUAUUUAUGGACAAGCACACUGUCCUCUAGGCUAAAAAAGCAGAGCAAGUCUCUUCUGCAAGCGAAAGCCUGCAUGUGGGGCCGGUGGAUGGGGCCUGUCUUGACAUGUGAAGUAUAAUAAAUCCUUACUUAUGAAAAC
rnacentral:lncRNA from 1 species